rnacentral:rRNA from 1 species
AGGAUAGUAAGGGCAUAC